rnacentral:rRNA from 4 species
AAAUUGAAGAGUUUGAUCAUGGCUCAGAUUGAACGCUGGCGGCAGGCCUAACACAUGCAAGUCGAACGGUAACAGGAAGCAGCUUGCUGCUUCGCUGACGAGUGGCGGACGGGUGAGUAAUGUCUGGGAAACUGCCUGAUGGAGGGGGAUAACUACUGGAAACGGUGGCUAAUACCGCAUAACGUCGCAAGACCAAAGAGGGGGACCUUCGGGCCUCUUGCCAUCAGAUGUGCCCAGAUGGGAUUAGCUUGUUGGUGAGGUAACGGCUCACCAAGGCGACGAUCCCUAGCUGGUCUGAGAGGAUGACCAGCCACACUGGAACUGAGACACGGUCCAGACUCCUACGGGAGGCAGCAGUGGGGAAUAUUGCACAAUGGGCGCAAGCCUGAUGCAGCCAUGCCGCGUGUAUGAAGAAGGCCUUCGGGUUGUAAAGUACUUUCAGCGGGGAGGAAGGUGUUGUGGUUAAUAACCGCAGCAAUUGACGUUACCCGCAGAAGAAGCACCGGCUAACUCCGUGCCAGCAGCCGCGGUAAUACGGAGGGUGCAAGCGUUAAUCGGAAUUACUGGGCGUAAAGCGCACGCAGGCGGUCUGUCAAGUCGGAUGUGAAAUCCCCGGGCUCAACCUGGGAACUGCAUUCGAAACUGGCAGGCUUGAGUCUUGUAGAGGGGGGUAGAAUUCCAGGUGUAGCGGUGAAAUGCGUAGAGAUCUGGAGGAAUACCGGUGGCGAAGGCGGCCCCCUGGACAAAGACUGACGCUCAGGUGCGAAAGCGUGGGGAGCAAACAGGAUUAGAUACCCUGGUAGUCCACGCCGUAAACGAUGUCUACUUGGAGGUUGUGCCCUUGAGGCGUGGCUUCCGGAGCUAACGCGUUAAGUAGACCGCCUGGGGAGUACGGCCGCAAGGUUAAAACUCAAAUGAAUUGACGGGGGCCCGCACAAGCGGUGGAGCAUGUGGUUUAAUUCGAUGCAACGCGAAGAACCUUACCUGGUCUUGACAUCCACGGAAGUUUUCAGAGAUGAGAAUGUGCCUUCGGGAACCGUGAGACAGGUGCUGCAUGGCUGUCGUCAGCUCGUGUUGUGAAAUGUUGGGUUAAGUCCCGCAACGAGCGCAACCCUUAUCCUUUGUUGCCAGCGGUCCGGCCGGGAACUCAAAGGAGACUGCCAGUGAUAAACUGGAGGAAGGUGGGGAUGACGUCAAGUCAUCAUGGCCCUUACGACCAGGGCUACACACGUGCUACAAUGGCGCAUACAAAGAGAAGCGACCUCGCGAGAGCAAGCGGACCUCAUAAAGUGCGUCGUAGUCCGGAUUGGAGUCUGCAACUCGACUCCAUGAAGUCGGAAUCGCUAGUAAUCGUGGAUCAGAAUGCCACGGUGAAUACGUUCCCGGGCCUUGUACACACCGCCCGUCACACCAUGGGAGUGGGUUGCAAAAGAAGUAGGUAGCUUAACCUUCGGGAGGGCGCUUACCACUUUGUGAUUCAUGACUGGGGUGAAGUCGUAACAAGGUAACCGUAGGGGAACCUGCGGUUGGAUCACCUCCUUACCUUAAAGAA